UGGGGAAUAUUGCACAAUGGGGGAAACCCUGAUGCAGCGACGCCGCGUGAGCGAAGAAGGUUUUCGAAUCGUAAAGCUCUGUCCUAUGAGAAGAUAAUGACGGUAUCAUAGGAGGAAGCCCCGGCUAAAUACGUGCCAGCAGCCGCGGUAAUACGUAUGGGGCGAGCGUUGUCCGGAAUUAUUGGGCGUAAAGGGUACGUAGGCGGUCUAUUAAGUCAGGUGUGAAAGCGUGAGGCUUAACCUCAUUAAGCACUUGAAACUGAUAGACUUGAGUGAAGGAGAGGAAAGUGGAAUUCCUAGUGUAGCCGUGAAAUGCGUAGAUAUUAGGAGGAAUACCGGUGGCGAAGGCGACUUUCUGGACUUUUACUGACGCUCAGGUACGAAAGCGUGGGGAGCAAACAGG
rnacentral:rRNA from 1 species